AGAGAAGGGGUGUAAGGCAGGUGAGGAAAAGGAAAGUGGCUGAGCAUAUGGAUAGCAGAAGCACAGACUGAGAUUCUACCUGUGGCAUGAAGAUCUCCUGCCUGUUCAAACAAAAGAAAAAAAUAGGACUGCAGUGAUUGAGGUGAGUCUGGCUGCACAGCAAAACAAGAUCGGCAGCAGGGAAAAACCACAGUAUGGUUGGGCACGAUGAGCCGUAACUCUCAGCACAAGAAGCUGGGGAAAAGUGAAACGAGUGUUCUAACCCUGUCCUACAUUUACAGAGAAUCCAUACCCUUCGAAGGAGCACUGCUGAAGUGUGAAGGUGGCUACGGAACUCAAGGGCAGGAUAGUGGACAACAGG